UUGAAAUAAAACUAUCAGUUAUAAUGUAACUAUUUUUAUUUAAAUGGGAUACACUUGUCAAAGUAAUGACUAAAGAAUAAAAAAAGUCAUGCACAUGACAUGUCAAAGGAAGACUAAAACUAAAAUCCUUGCUAUGAAAAUGUCAAAUCUUAAACUUACAUUGUUAAUAGCCAAUAUCCUCUUAUUCCCCUACUUUCUUUCUUUUUUGUUUUUUCUUCUUUUACUAUUUUUUCUCUUUUUUUAAACUCCAGAGUUUAUUCCCCUCCGGGUCCACCCUCCAACUGUUCCACGUCCCAUGCCUCCUCCCCGCCCUCCUGUGCCCCCUCCCUGCCCCUGCUUACAUAUCAGCACAAAAGCCUGUAUCUAUCACUAGUGAGCAGAAAGGAGAAUCUAUUUCUAGGGAGACUUAGAGUCAGAAUAGAUUUGCAAAAUCAUGCAUGCCAAAUGUCCUGGAAUCUUGUUGUUUGUAAGUGUCUCCUAGUUCAAAUGUCCUUUGUCCAGUUCCCCUUGUAGGACUAAGGAGGAGGCAGACCAGGAGCCCCUCAACAAGUCUGUAAGAACUCCUGCAGAACAUACCUGAGCCCUCUGAGUCUCUUUGGGCUUGAGAACGGAAUCUCCCUGUUCCUUAUGUGAUAAUCCCCCACCCCACCCCCGGUCCUUCCUUAAGAGGCUAAUGUACACAAGGAGGUGUGGAUCCAGCAAGUGGUUUCUUCUUUGUUUUAUUAUUGUUUGCUUGCUUGCUUGGGUAUUUUUUUUAAUCAACAAGAUAUUUUGCAGUGUGAUGAAAAUCGUUCUUUUUAAGAGAGACAGUGGGAAGUGGUUAUCUACAAGAUUAAAUGAAAAAAAUGUUAAAUAAUGUUAAAUUUGCAUUUUUUUUUAUUCUGCUCUGUCAAGAAAGAUCAUAAACCUGGAAAUGUCUGAAGCAAGCAACCUUGCCUGUCGGCAAAAACCUACUUUCCUUACACUGUAAAUGGCUAUAAGUUUUAUUGUUUUGUUUUGUAGUUGUUUUGGGUUCCUUUUCUUUCUAUAGGUAAUAAUUUAUAUUUUAUCUAAAUUUAAGCCUCAAUAAGGUCUCUGGAUAUUUUUUUUUUACAAUCUGUUUGUGUUUAUUUUUUUUAAUUAAACACUUCGAUUUGCUUUCUGGUACUUUUUCCUCCCAUUUUUAUUCACAGAAAUUUGAAGAUAUCAGUAUGUACAAUUGUAAAAUUUAAUUUUAUCAAAUUUAUAAUCUAUUAUUCUUUACAUUAUAUUGCUCUAAGUGAGUACUUUUAUUAAUUUAUCUUCCUGAAUAUUUAUUUUGUUGGAGUAAGGAGCUAGCUAUCUGUGAAUCUUUUGUUAAUAUUACUUUGUAAAUUGUGUAAUGUAAUUUAUUUUAAAUUAUGCAUACUUCUUUUUUAAUGCACAAAAUAUCUAUGUACGAGGGACUGCAGAUUGGCAAAUACUGUCACUAAGCUUAUGCAGCUAAUGUGGAUGGCGUGUGGAGAUGUAAUGUGCUUUUCUACAUUUUCAUAUGGGUUAUUUGUAAAUAUCUAUAUUGCUGACAGACAUAAAUCCAGAAGUCAUUUUCAUUCUAACUGUGUGUGGCUCUGUGCUUUAUUUGUAACACUUACUUCUUGCACAUGGAUAAAAACACUUACUUGGUGAGUAUCCACAUCCUACCUUUCAUGAUUAUAUUUUUGUUUACUGUUUGCAAUUCCAAUACAGAAAGUCUGGGAAGUUCAGAUUUCUCUUUAAACUUCAGCUGUUGAGCCAGCUGCGACCAGAUGACUGCCAUGGUCCCUAGUCCUCUUUGUAUUUGGUCAGUUAACAGGGCACUGGCAGAGAAUGGGUAAUCAGGACAGCUCUUCUUCCUUCACAGCCUAAGCCUGUGUCUGUCCAUAGAAAACAAACCUAAGAGGCUGGCUCCACGUUCUGUGUGCUGCAUACUUCCUAUAUAGCUCACUUGCUUUUCUGACGUGCUCACUCUGGAGCAUAGUACUACACAGGCUAUUAAAACCCACUAUUCUCAGAUGCUCCACCCCUUACCACCUUUCCCUAGAACUCUUCACUAAAGUGAAGCAGCUCCUUGCUUCCUGCAGGUCUCCAGUCAUACACCACCUCUUCUGAGAAGUUUGCCAUAACUGUAAUCUCUCUACCCUCACACUUUCUUUACAUUGUUUUAAUCAAUGUUUUCCAAUGUUCCUUUAUUUGCUCAUUUUCUAUUUACUUUGCUUGUUGGUGCCCCAUAUCUUCUUCUAUACAUGGAAGAAGCCAGUUCCUUAGCUGUUUUAUUCCUUCCUUGGAAAGAUGAUCAACACAUAGUAAGAAUAAUAAAUUAGUGAAUACCUGAUUAAUUAAAGUGAAAAAAAAAUGAUCUGCAGAGCCAAUGGAUAGCAUGUGGCUGAGCACAAACAUC
rnacentral:lncRNA from 1 species